rnacentral:rRNA from 1 species
ACGGGUGAGGAAUACAUCGGAAUCUGCCUUGUUGUGGGGGAUAACGUAGGGAAACUUACGCUAAUACCGCAUAAGACCGUAAGGUGAAAGUGGGGGACCGCAAGGCCUCACGCGACAAGAUGAGCCGAUGUCGGAUUAGCUAGUUGGUGAGGUAAUGGCUCACCAAGGCGACGAUCCGUAGCUGGUCUGAGAGGAUGAUCAGCCACACUGGAACUGAGACACGGUCCAGACUCCUACGGGAGGCAGCAGUGGGGAAUAUUGGACAAUGGGCGCAAGCCUGAUCCAGCCAUGCCGCGUGGGUGAAGAAGGCCUUCGGGUUGUAAAGCCCUUUUGUCCGGGAAGAAAUUGUACGGGUGAAUAUCCCGUGCCGAUGACGGUACCGGAAGAAUAAGCACCGGCUAACUUCGUGCCAGCAGCCGCGGUAAUACGAAGGGUGCAAGCGUUACUCGGAAUUACUGGGCGUAAAGCGUGCGUAGGCGGUUUGUUAAGUCUGUCGUGAAAGCCCUGGGCUCAACCUGGGAAUUGCGAUGGAUACUGGCAAGCUAGAGUACGGUAGAGGAUGGUGGAAUUCCCGGUGUAGCGGU